rnacentral:rRNA from 1 species
CCGCGGUAAUACGGAGGGUCCGAGCGUUAUCCGGAAUCAUUGGGUUUAAAGGGUCCGUAGGCGGGCAAUUAAGUCAGGGGUGAAAGUUUGCAGCUCAACUGUAAAAUUGCCCUUGAUACUGGUUGUCUUGAAUUACUGUGAAGUGGUUAGAAUAUGUAGUGUAGCGGUGAAAUGCAUAGAUAUUACAUAGAAUACCAAUUGCGAAGGCAGAUCACUAACAGUAUAUUGACGCUGAGGGACGAAAGCGUGGGGAGCGAACAGG